rnacentral:lncRNA from 1 species
GGAACACUUUACAAAGUAACCAUCACUACAGCUUAUUUAGAGGUGGCAUAAGAGGACCUCAGUGGGGCCAUUGAAUUGCAAGUAGUCUGAUGACCUUCUCCUGAAAGAGGAGGAGGCCACCCCUUUUCUCCCAAGACUGGCCAGGAUUACAAUUAAAUGAGUAGCUGACAUGUGACAGAGCUCCAUCAUGAGAAGAAGAUCUGCCCGGAGAAUGAGUCUACAUCAAAUUGGUAUGAUCAAGGAAGAUAUCGCUUGCAGCAGUCUCUCACAAGUUUCAAAAUGACUCGCAAGGGUUUAAAAGCUGUAUGUGCAUUGGUAAUGAAGAAGAAAACAGCAGGAAGAGUAGAAAUCAGCACUACCAAGCUUUCCCUUAUAGCUCAUAAUGUCAAAUUUCCAAACAAAAAGAGCUUCUUCAGUUUCUGACUGACAGGACUCACGUCACCUUGGAGAAGCCUUUGGGAGCCUCUGGACAGAGGGGAAGCUUUUAAUGAUCAAGCACACACAGUUCUAGUAAAGUGUAUUUUAUAAUGGACUCUUAGUUUCUGUGUGUUCCUCUUCACCAAAGGCCACCCCAGACAUCAGAAAUGUAUGGAUCUGUGAGGUGAGAUGUGUU